AAACCUAAAGGCGUAAUGAAAGUGAAAGUCCGCCUAGCGCGGACUCAGGGAGGAUGGGUGGUCCUCUGUGGACCGCCUCGCACUCCCGGGGCGUCUCGUUCUCAUUGCGAGAAGAGGCGCACCAAGAGCGUACACGCUGGGACCCGAAAGAUGGUGAACUAUGCCUGGUCAGGACGAAGUCAGGGGAAACCCUGAUGGAGGUCCGUAGCGAUUCUGACGUGCAAAUCGAUCGUCGGAACUGGGUAUAGGGGCGAAAGACUAAUCGAACCAUCUAGUAGCUGGUUCCCUCCGAAGUUUCCCUCAGGAUAGCUGGCUCUCGUAUUAUACGAGUUUCAUCCGGUAAAGCGAAUGAUUAGAGGCAUUGGGGUCGAAACGGCCUCAACCUAUUCUCAAACUUUAAAUGGGUGAGAUCUCCGGCUUGCUCGAAUUCUUCGUGAAGCCGCGAGAAUCGAAUCAGAGUGCCAAGUGGGCCAUUUUUGGUAAGCAGAACUGGCGCUGUGGGAUGAACCAAACGCAGAGUUAAAGCGCCUAAAUCGACGCUUAUGGGAUACC
rnacentral:rRNA from 1 species